rnacentral:rRNA from 1 species
UACGGGGGGGGGCAAGCGUUGUUCGGAAUUACUGGGCGUAAAGGGCUCGUAGGCGGCCAACUAAGUCAGACGUGAAAUCCCCAGGCUUAACCUGGGAACUGCGUCUGAUACUGGAUGGCUUGAAUUCGGGAGAGGGAUGCAGAAUUCCAGGUGUAGCGGUGAAAUGCGUAGAUAUCUGGAGGAACACCGGUGGCGAAGGCGGCAUCCUGGACCAUGACUGACGCUGAGGAGCGAAAGCCAGGGGAGCAAACGGG